UAACAAGGCCUUGCCAAAUUGUUCUAUGUAGCAAAUUCUUGGCCUCGAUCAACAGUCAACAUGCUCUGGCCAAUCUAAGCCGGUUCUAUUCUUCGCCCCCAAGAAAUCCUGCUUUUAUUUACAGUAGCCUUGCAAGGGGACAAAAGUUCGCGGUUGGGAUCACAAGGGCCCUCUCUCUCUCACCCAGAACCCACCUCUAGGAAAAGUUCAGUUUUGAUCUUGGGGGCUUCCUCAACAUAUUUGGUCUGCCCCAAGUUGUAUUAUUUGUGGAGGUCGCACAGAGAGAGGGGAGAGAGAGAGAGAGAGGGAGACAUGGCGUUCAUGAGGGGAGAGCCGUUGUUGGCAAAGCUGGCGAACAUAGCACGUUACGUCGUCUUCCCGGCAGCCAUGGCGGCCUCUCUGAUCUAUGUUCCCCCUGUCAGCUCCAAGAAGAAGCAGGAAAAGAAGUAGACGGAGGAAGACCAAGGAACCCUUCUCUCACUUUUCAUUGUUCUGCCUUUUAUUCGAGGUUUUCUCCUUGAUCUCCUUUUCAUGACCACAUCCAGUAAAAGCGUUGGCAUGCAUAACCUUCAGUGAAGGACCCAUGUUGCACAAUUUCACCUCUCAGAACUCUGAUUUUUGUUUUUUAUAAUAUAACAUGGAGUUUCAUCUAUUGUAUCUUCUUUGGAAGUCGUAUAUAUGAACGAUAACUCUCUCUCUCUC